AAUUUCAUGGUGUAGAAGCAUUUUAGACUGCAAUUCUGAUGGCGUAUAAUUUAGUUAUAUUGAAAUUU
rnacentral:tRNA from 1 species